rnacentral:rRNA from 1 species
AACAAACGCUGGCGGCGUGCCUAAUACAUGCAAGUCGAACGGGGAAAGCUUUCGGGUGAGUACCAGUGGCGCACGGGUGAGGAACGCGUGGAUAAUCUGCCUUAGAGUGGGGGAUAACUAGUCGAAAGAUUAGCUAAUACCGCAUAAGACCACAGGAGCUGCGGCUCUAGGGGUCAAAGGUUUUUCGCUCUAAGAUGAGUCCGCGUAAGAUUAGCUAGUUGGUGAGGUAACGGCUCACCAAGGCGACGAUCUUUAACUGGUCUGAGAGGAUGAUCAGUCACACUGGAACUGAGACACGGUCCAGACUCCUACGGGAGGCAGCAGUAGGGAAUAUUGCACAAUGGAGGAAACUCUGAUGCAGCGACGCCGCGUGAGUGAUGAAGGCCUUCGGGUCGUAAAGCUCUGUCGCAGGGGAAUAACACAAUGAAUGUACUCUGUAAGAAAGGAUCGGCUAACUUCGUGCCAGCAGCCGCCGUAAAAC